rnacentral:rRNA from 1 species
GACGAACGCUGGCGGCGUGCUUAACACAUGCAAGUCGAACGGAAAGGCCCUGCUUUUGUGGGGUGCUCGAGUGGCGAACGGGUGAGUAACACGUGAGUAACCUGCCCUUGACUUUGGGAUAACUUCAGGAAACUGGGGCUAAUACCGGAUAGGAGCUCCUGCUGCAUGGUGGGGGCUGGAAAGUUUCGGCGGUUGGGGAUGGACUCGCGGCUUAUCAGCUUGUUGGUGGGGUAGUGGCUUACCAAGGCUUUGACGGGUAGCCGGCCUGAGAGGGUGACCGGCCAAAUGGGGACUGAGAUACGGCCCAGACUCCUAGGGGAGGAAGAAGGGGGGAAUAUUGAAAAAGGGGCGGAAGCCGGAGGCAGAAACGCCGGGGGGGGGAUGACGGCCUUGGGGUUGUAAACCGCUUUCGCCUGGGACGAAGGGGGGGUGACGGUAAUGGGUAAAGAAGCACCGGAUAACUACGU